rnacentral:lncRNA from 1 species
GUCAGCCUUGCUGCGUUUUGCGAAGAGGUCUAGUUCUGAAAAAUAAAAGUUAAAACAAUGAAAAUAUUUUAGUCUUCCCGAGCUGACAAUUGUUUAUGUGUAACUAAGUAUCAUUUGAAAUUUUCUUUUCCGUUUCAUAUGUUGAAUAUAGGGAUAGUGCCAGGAAAGCUCUUAAGCCUCAUUUGAGCGAGCAAAAAAAUGGGUGCUAGAACUGAAAUCACAAGGUAUUGCUCGCACUUUCUUGCUGUCUAAACUCACUCAGUCCUCGGCUGCUUUAAACAAUUUUAGGCUAUAACUUUAAUUUCAGUUUUGUUUAGGUGCUGUACUCUGUAUACUAACUUUCUAUGCGAGUUUGCGUCUUUCAAUAUAGCUAAUUCUAUCUACUUGGAUCAUUCCCUUAUGACAAGGCAAUCCAAAUAUGGUCAUGGCACUAGCUGGGAAUAAAGCAGAUCUAGUAGAGUCAACUCUCGGUCAAUAAGCACUUGUUGCUUUAUUUUAGCAUUCUUAC